GACGAACGCUGGCGGCGUGCCUAAUACAUGCAAGUAGAACGCAGUUGCGAACGGGUGAGUAACGCGUAGGUAACUGCCUCAUAGCGGGGGAUAACUAUUGGAAACGAUAGCUAAUACCGCAUACUGUGAGCUGGACCUGCGUUGUAUUAGCUAGUUGGUGGGGUAAAGGCUCACCAAGGCGACGAUCCAUAGCCGACCUGAGAGGGGUAACGGCCACACUGGGAAUUGGACGCGGCCCAGGAUCCUACGGGGAGGCGCAGUAGGGAAAUUUCGGAAAUGGAGGGAAGUCUGGACGAGCCACGCCGCGGGAGUGAAGAAGGUGUUCGGAGCGUAAAGCUCUGUUGUUAGAGAAGCGUUAACUAACCAGAAAGCGACGGCUAACUCCGUGCCAGCAGCCGCGGUAAUAC
rnacentral:rRNA from 1 species